UACGUAGGGGGCAAGCGUUGUCCGGAAUCAUUGGGCGUAAAGCGCGCGUAGGCGGCCCGCUCAGUCCGCUGUAAAAGUCCAGGGCUCAACCCUGGAAAGCCGGUGGAUACUGUCGGGCUAGAGUCCGGAAGAGGCGAGUGGAAUUCCUGGUGUAGCGGUGGAAUGCGCAGAUAUCAGGAGGAACACCGAUAGCGAAGGCAGCUCGCUGGGACGGUACUGACGCUGAGGUGCGAAAGCGUGGGGAGCGAACAGG
rnacentral:rRNA from 1 species